rnacentral:rRNA from 1 species
GAUGAACGCUGGCGGCGUGCCUAAUACAUGCAAGUCGAGCGAACAGACGAGGAGCUUGCUCCUCUGACGUUAGCGGCGGACGGGGGAGUAAAACGUGGAUAACCUACCUAUAAGACUGGGAUAACUUCGGGAAACCGGAGCUAAUACCGGAUAAUAUAUUGAACCGCAUGGUUCAAUAGUGAAAGACGGUUUUGCUGUCACUUAUAGAUGGAUCCGCGCCGCAUUAGCUAGUUGGUAAGGUAACGGCUUACCAAGGCGACGAUGCGUAGCCGACCUGAGAGGGUCAUCGGCCACCCUGGAACUGAGACACGGUCCAGACUCCUACGGGAGGCAGCAGUAGGGAAUCUUCCGCAAUGGGCGAAAGCCUGACGUAGCAACGCCGCGUGAGUGAUGAAGGUCUUCGGAUCGUAAAACUCUGUUAUUAGGGAAGAACAAAUGUGUAAGUAACUAUGCACGUCUUGACGGUACCUAAUCAGAAAGCCACGGCUAACUACGUG